GAGUCCAUUAACAAACUACAAAAGACAGAAGAAUAAGAACAAUAUAACGUCAACGUCAAGCUUUUUUUAGCCUGCACAAAAGGUUCUAUUCCCAUUGCAAAUCAGCGUACGUCAUAGAACUGCUAGAAAAUGUUGCUUUGCAACGAGACAGGAAGGCGGUCCAGAAACAUAAGCCAAGCUCUCCGUAAAAAGUUGGAAUUCAAGUAAAAUUGUGAUGACUCGUUCGUGACUCGUUUGUAGCCGGGUUUUCGUGAUAACCCGAAGCGCACACGAUGGCAGUUAGAAGGGGUAAAUUCAGAGCGUUUUUGAAGUCUGCUUCAUCCAGCCCAAAGCACGAGGAACAUUCCUUUACCAACUCCGUGGAUGGCGAGAUCAGUGUUGAAAUAUCCGUUGGGCCGAGAGGAGAAAUCAGUAACCCGGAUGUGGAGAUUGCUGGAGGUAAUGACGAACCUUAUAUUCCCGGAAAUCCGGGAC